GAUUAAUUAUUUAAAAUAUGUUUUGUUUAUAAUUCCUCGUCAGCUACUUGCCUAUAAUAUUUCAUAUAUUCAUCAGUUUAAUAGUAAAUGACGUUAUUAUAUGUAUACAUGUAUAUACAUGCAUAAUACAUAUACAUGUAUACAUGUAUAUCCACGAUAGGUAAGGUUACGUUUAAUUUUAAACUAUCAUUAUAAUAAUAGUAAUUAUAUAUGUAUAAUAUAAUUUUAAUAAUUAUUUAUUCAUUUAUUUAUAUUUAUUUCUUCAUUUAUUUAUACUAUAUGUAUAUGUAUAUAUAUUUAUGUGUAUAGUAUAUGUAUAUGUGUGUCUGUUGUGUGUGAUAGACAGGAUGAACAAUUUCAAAUGUUCAUCACCUCGAACAUCCCGAAGAGUACAUACGUGUAUUUUUGAAGAAAAUGUUUCGAACGUAACUCGUUUUAUGCCAAAACGGACAUUUCGCGACGCAGUCAUUCUGAUCCCAAGUGACACCGCGAAGUUCGAGGGCGGGUCGUCCCUGUUUUUUUCCAAGUUCAGGAAAAUCUCAUUUGUUUCGUACCGCGGACUUUGUUCUCCGCGGGAUGCGAUCGACGAUCUUUGCUCGUCUUUUGUUUCGAGUAGCGCGUCUCGUCGACCAAUCCCGUCGUGGCACGCG
rnacentral:misc_RNA from 1 species